rnacentral:rRNA from 1 species
GAUGAACGCUGGCGGCGUGCUUAACACAUGCAAGUCGAACGAAGCAUUUAAGACAGAUUACUUCGGUUUGAAGUCUUUUAUGACUGAGUGGCGGACGGGUGAGUAACGCGUGGGUAACCUGCCUCAUACAGGGGGAUAGCAGCUGGAAACGGCUGGUAAUACCGCAUAAGCGCACGGUAUCGCAUGAUACAGUGUGAAAAACUCCGGUGGUAUAAGAUGGACCCGCGUCUGAUUAGCUUGUUGGUGAGGUAACGGCCCACCAAGGCGACGAUCAGUAGCCGGCCUGAGAGGGUGAACGGCCACAUUGGGACUGAGACACGGCCCAAAACUCCUACGGGAGGCAGCAGUGGGGAAUAUUGCACAAUGGGGGAAACCCUGAUCCAGCGACGCCGCGUGAGGGAAGAAGGUUUUCGGAUUGUAAACCUCUGUUGACGGAGAAAAAAAUGAUGGUAUCCGUUUAGAAAGCCACGGCUAACUACGUGCCAGCAGCCGCGGU